GUGGGGAAUAUUGGACAAUGGGCGAAAGCCUGAUCCAGCCAUGCCGCGUGUGUGAAGAAGGUCUUCGGAUUGUAAAGCACUUUAAGUUGGGAGGAAGGGCAGUAAGUUAAUACCUUGCUGUUUUGACGUUACCGACAGAAUAAGCACCGGCUAACUUCGUGCCAGCAGCCGCGGUAAUACGAAGGGCGCAAGCGUUAAUCGGAAUUACUGGGCGUAACGCGCGCGUAGGUGGGUUUGUAAGUUGGAGGUGAAAUCCCCGGGCUCAACCUGGGAACUUCCUCCAAAACUGCAUGACUAGAGUACGGUAGAGGGUAGUGGAAUGUCCUGUGUAGCGGUGAAAUGCGUAGAUAUAGGAAGGAACACCAGUGGCGAAGGCGACUACCUGGACUGAUACUGACACUGAGGUGCGAAAGCGUGGGGAGCAAACAGGAUUAGAAACCCUGGUAGUCC
rnacentral:rRNA from 1 species